rnacentral:ncRNA from 2 species
AAUAUCGUGCUUCUCCGACCCUGUGGUCCUAAGGGCUUUGCUAAAGCAGCAAGCCUAUGGUAGCUGGGCGAUAGGGUAUAGCCGGAAACAGCUAUGCCUGCCGUGUUUGCGAAGGAGGGGCUUCCAGCGAGAG